UCCCAUUUACCCGAUGGAGAUGACAUCCAGCCUAUGUGUGAUCACACUUGUCAAUCAAGGAAAAAAACUUCAGGAAGCCUCUUUCUUUCCAUAUUGCCUUAUUUGUUCAUGUUUCUCCCAUACUUUGGAGGCAUGUACAAGGAAUUUUGCACUGUCUGCCCAGGGGCUGAGUGGCUGAAUGUUUCAUGGGACUGAAAAUCCUAACCAACAGGAGCAUCUACAAGGAGCUUGCAGACAAGGAUCAUGAGAAUAUUGAGGCCUCAAGGAAAUGGAAGCUCCAUCACUAAUUUGGAGACUUUCUUACAGAAGAGGGAAGCAGAGAAAUCACCUUGGUACGGAACCUACGGGGUCACAGCUCGUACCUGCUUAUCCAGGGCUAAUCUGUCCUUGAGUGCAAGCCCUGGGAGCCUUGCAGCCAUAAGAGGG